AAGCUCCAUAAUUCCUCGUCACCUACAACAAAUGGAUAUAUUUUCAGGUUCAUGUACAGCUAUAAAAUGUCAAUAACCAGUAAAGACACACCCAGACCCACACACAUAUAAUGCGUCUUAUACACCAUAUUAUAACAAAGGGAGUUGUAAUUUCUGAGAGAGCAAUUCAGCAAACAAGUUUAGUUCAGUAUUUCCCCUUCUGAUAUGACCUUGAAUACCUGAUAAUUCUCCUAAAACAUGUGCUAACAAAUGGUUUCGGGAUAUUACAAGGAUUACUCUAAUAUUCGUCAUCCCAUAAAGGUUCAAAUGAAGCUGAGGAGCAAACAGACUACAUCCUAAUUCCAAAUAUGAAAUAGCAAUGAUUGCAUAGAUACAAAAGGAUAAUCAUUUAAUCUUUCCUGUUAAGAAAUUGACGAUUUCCACUUAACCCGGUAACCAUCAAGGAAAAAUCAUUGACAGUUUGGCAGAGGCAUUCACAUUUUUUUUUCUUUUUUGAGAAAUGCAGAGGCAUUCGCUUUCUGUAGCAAUAACAGGUAUUAUGUCCACUGUGGCAGCAAUCAAUCAAGUGAUUAGAACAGAAAGAAUAGGCAAAAGCUGUCCUCAAGCUAGAAAUCAGCUAUCCCCUUUAAAAGUCAUCUAUAACCUAUUCUGAAAACUCAAAUAUCACAAAUCCCUUUUGGCCUCUCUGAUUAGCUAGAAAGAAAUAUACGUGCCACCAUCAUUAUAUCAACAUUAUUUUUCAAUACUGUAUUCAAGCCUUAACAAAGAUAAUGCACACAAGAGAUUGCCUAAAGAGAAUUAUGGGGUUGCCCAAUUCUUGUGCAAAUUCCACUUCGACAAAAUUGCUACAGUAAAUGACAGCAAAAUGUUACAACUAAAUUAUAGCAAUUUUAGACAACUUACAUGAAACAGAACCUAAUGAAGGUAAUAUGAGUUCUGGAACCAAGCCAAGGGCUAAGUGAAGGUCCAAACGCGUUAAAGUUUUCUCGGGAAACAACCAAAGCCCGAUAAACGAAGUACAGAUAUACAGAGAGAAUUAGAGUAGGACAAAAUAAAUUCUUACCUUUCAGAUUGUGGAAUUGGAGAG
rnacentral:misc_RNA from 1 species